AUUAAAGAGUUUUUACAACUCCCAAACCCCUGUGAACAUACCUUCUGUUGCCUCGGCAGGCCCUGGCCUACCCUGUAGCGCCCCUACACUGUAGGGCUUGCUUUAGGGGGAGCGCUGGGGGAACCUGCCGGCGGCCCGCAAAACUCUGUUUAGCAUUGAAUUCUGAACGUAUAACUAAAUAAGUUAAAACUUUCAACAACGGAUCUCUUGGUUCUGGCAUCGAUGAAGAACGCAGCGAAAUGCGAUAAGUAAUGUGAAUUGCAGAAUUCAGUGAAUCAUCGAAUCUUUGAACGCACAUUGCGCCCAUUAGUAUUCUAGUGGGCAUGCCUGUUCGAGCGUCAUUUCAACCCUUAAGCCCCUGUUGCUUAGCGUUGGGAGCCUACGGCAGCGUAGCUCCCCAAAGUUAGUGGCGUGGUCGGUUCACACUCCAGACGUAGUAGAUUUUCACCUCGCCUGUAGCUGGACCGGUCCCCUGCCGUAAAACACCCCAAUUUUUAAAGGUUGACCU
rnacentral:rRNA from 1 species